rnacentral:rRNA from 1 species
AGAGUUUGAUCCUGGCUCAGGACGAACGCUGGCGGCGUGCCUAAUACAUGCAAGUCGAGCGAGCAGAACCAGCAGAUUUACUUCGGUAAUGACGCUGGGGACGCGAGCGGCGGAUGGGUGAGUAACACGUGGGGAACCUGCCCCAUAGUCUGGGAUACCACUUGGAAACAGGUGCUAAUACCGGAUAAGAAAGCAGAUCGCAUGAUCAGCUUAUAAAAGGCGGCGUAAGCUGUCGCUAUGGGAUGGCCCCGCGGUGCAUUAGCUAGUUGGUAAGGUAACGGCUUACCAAGGCGAUGAUGCAUAGCCGAGUUGAGAGACUGAUCGGCCACAUUGGGACUGAGACACGGCCCAAACUCCUACGGGAGGCAGCAGUAGGGAAUCUUCCACAAUGGACGCAAGUCUGAUGGAGCAACGCCGCGUGAGUGAAGAAGGUUUUCGGAUCGUAAAGCUCUGUUGUUGGUGAAGAAGGAUAGAGGUAGUAACUGGCCUUUAUUUGACGGUAAUCAACCAGAAAGUCACGGCUAACUACGUGCCAGCAGCCGCGGU